CUCCGCGGCAUGUGGGAUCUUCCCGGACCAGGGCACAAACACGUGUCCCCUGCAUCGGCAGGCGGACUCUCAACCACUGCGCCACCAGGGAAGCCCAGAGGUGGUCCUUUCAACGGAAGCAAAGGGCACAUGCCCUAACCUUCUCAGUCCCUCCUAGGGACUAGUUAGUACAGCCACAGUUUUACUUGGCCAGAGGGACUGUUGAGCAAAAAAGGGUCAUUUCAUCCAUCUUCUGUUUUAAGGCAGGAGGACUUCUUAAAAGAUUUCUUCCAUUCCAGCCAAGAAGAGCCCCUCCAUGUUCUCCAGCAGAGCUCGCUUUUCUACAUUUUUCCUGAGUCCCCGAGAGAAAAGAAAACCCAGCCUGAGUGUGAAAGGGAUCCUAGGACAUUGUCUGAGCUGGGGAGCCUAAACUAGACCAAUAUGUGUCUCCACGAACCACACAAAGAAAUCACCGAAAUGAAGUCUAUUCCAUCACCUGGCUAAGAAAUAAAUCAUCCCCUUCCUGAGGAAAUCUGAGCCAUUCACCCUGCUGAUUCUGUGGGGCUGGGAGUGCCUGCUGUUCUGCUCUGUCCGGAUGGCUGUCCGUACUGGGUUCACUUGGGAGCCCUGGAUGUUUUCAGGAAAAGUAUCUCGUCUCUCUUCUAUUGCCCACCUGCAUGGGGAACAGAGGGCUGGAGGGGAGGUGGACAGGGAGGAGACGGUAAAAGGCACAUUCUUCCUGCUCUCUAGAAGGAAAAACUAAGGGCCGGACGUGAAAAACUGUGAGUGCUGCCUCCGUUCCCAGGGUGCUGGUGUUGCAUCUGGGACAUUUCCCAAUGCUUGCCCUUUCUCUACCUCGAACGUAAAGAAUGAAGCCCGGGAAGGCACCUUGAGCGUGCUUGGAACUCUGACAGAGCCACUGGGGGAUGCGAGAGUAGACACAGAGGCAAAGAUUCUGCUCCCUCCCAGUCCCUUUUCUCAGGAGAACUAUUCCACAGGAGUAACACACUCACCCAUCCAGUCCUCCCCAUCAGUGCAAAUUACUCUGAAAUAAUAAGCCCGACUUCUCAAGGUAAAUCAACUCCCCAGAGCCUCUGCUCAUCCCCCACAAAUCCCUGGACCUGAAGAACAGUGACUGUCUCUCGCAAACAGAUGUCAAGAAUGGCCUGCUCACCUCAGCAUCUGGCUCAGUGAGUCGAAGAGGCAAUUCAGAACAGCCAUGAGCAUCAGCUGUUUGGAGACAGAAGAAGCAGGAGGAUAAGGUUUAAGGCCCUGAAAGCUGCUACCUGAAAACAAAGCCCUCUAACUCAUUAAGCAUCAAAAGACACAGGCCUUCACAAAGGACCAACAGCAUAAGGUGGAAGUGACAGUAAAACAGGAAGACGACCCGUGGCUUCCCACAGAAAUAAAUUCUGCUUCAUGACCCCAUAAUUUUAGGUCUCUCUUUGACCAGACUGUUCAAACAGAACUUUCCUGUCGCAGUCUUCUUCAUGUCUUUACCAACUGUAUAUGUGUUACCCUAUGUCUUUGGUAGAAAAAUCAUUAACCAAGCAAUAGCUGAGGUCAGACUGCUGUCAAAAGAGAAUGGACUUUGGAGUCAGGCAGAUCUCGGCUUAAAUCCCAGCCGAGCCAUUUCUAGAUGUGUGACCCUGGGAAAGUUGUCAGUUUGAACCACAUGAAACUGCCACUUUUGUAGUCCAACAGUGGUCAGAUGUAAGUAAUUUCAUAUGGUUCCUCAAGGUUUAGUUUCCUCACCUAUAAAACAAGGGCACUAAUGCCCCAAACUCACAGAAGUGCUGUAAUGUAUUCUACGAAGCACUGACAGCAAUAAGAACUCAGGAGAAGUUGGUUCUCGCCAACUUUGACUUUUGCCUCCAAUUAUGCAGGGGCUUAUUUUUACCUAUCUACUCUCCUAGAAGUUGUGACCUGAGGUAAAUAGCUUUUCCUGAGUUUAGGAAGCAGGUUAGGACUACACCCACAGUCUUCAGAGAGCCACUCAGAACGUAUGGCUUUGACGUGACCCACAAUGUUGCCUAACUGACCCAAACUCAGUCAGGUGUGGACCCUUCACAGCAGGAGCAAGCAUCCCCUGAACCCUGACCACACCUCAGAAAUCCAUCUCAAAAACACUAUCCGGGGAAGGCCAUUGACAUUAUACGUUAGUAUGGAUCAAAACAUAGAUAGUAUGGAUCAAAACACAGACGGUGUGUCCUACAUGGACACAGGAAUCUGGGAAAGCUUCCACUCUAGGUUGAUUCAGGUGCUCAGCCGUGUCUGUGAGGCUGACAGGGAUCUCCGACAACUGCGUUAGCCAGUCGACGCCAGAGGGACACAGGGACGCGGCAGUCCUAGGGCCCAGAACCAGUCAGGAGGUCCUGCCGGAGGUUCAGAAAGGGAGAGCAGAGACAGCAAAGAGGGGUGGGGAUUCUCACCUCAUUUUCAUAGGAGCUGCCGAUCACAUAGAAAUAGAGAUCAAUGCUGCUUUUGUAUACCACUGUCAGGCCUUCCAAGAGGGCAAUCUCACCUGUGGGGGGGACAAAGGUGGAAACGGUGGGUGGCCUGAGACAAAGAAGUAGGAAAGAGGGAGUUACCAUGAACUCCUGGUACCCAGCUGUGUGGGGCUGAGGUGAGGCAGGUCUUAAUGACCGCCAAAGACUGAAGCGGACCUGCUUUUUCUUUUUGGGUGGUAGCAGAGGGCGGCAAGUGUACACUUGGGGGAGUCUAAGUAUCUUCUCCUCUAACUGCUCCUGCCCCCCAGCCACCAGUAGCCUUAUUUCCCUCCUCGUGUACGAGACAGGAUACUAGUCAAUCCUUCGGAGGUGGAAAUGCAGAGCGGUCACCUUUACAGACUUCCAUUUCCCUGCCCUAAUGGACGCGGUACAACAAGCAGAGCUGCAGUUAAAUUUGUCAAGUGAGGCUCAUAAAUCCGGGGACUAGACAGGUAGCUAACAGCCAACCUUCUAGCACGGUAUUCCCGCGUGGGGUACGCUCACCUCCCCAUUACAUUUCUGAAGAGUUUAUUACAUGAGGGGAGGAGGAAGAAAGAGAAGGAAGAGGCAGAGUCAUUUCGCCCUUUCUCCGCCGCCCGCCGCCGCCCCCUUCCCGCUGUGGCUCUCCCACUGCAGGGAGUAGUGAAAGGAAGACGACCUACUGUCAGUCCGGUGGGUCUUGUUGAAAAUGUUCUUCUCAAAGGCCUUUUGCUCCUUGACACUGGGGUAGGUGUCGUCAUAGUACUGGUCAGAGGGAAAGGAGAUGGGUUGGGUCAUUAGAGCUGGGAGCCCAGAAUGACUAGCGACUGUUUUGCCCUGGAUCUUGGAUUUCUCUCCUGCAAGGCGUGGGGUGAGGGAGAAAUACUGACACGAAGAAGGGAGAGCUACAGAGGCAGGGAAUGGGCCGUGAGUAAUCGGAUACAAAACAAGGUUUUUAAGGACCCUGCUACAAGCCACCCCGCCUCACGGUUCUCAGACUGUAAGGGCAAGAGGCCUAGAAGCCCUGUGAUGAGGCUCUGCCCCAUCUACAUUCUAGGGCAGCAACCCUGAGGCCAUUCCCAGGCGCCACCCCAGGUCAGGGAACACUGCUAGAGAACACAAAAGGCACCAGGCCCUCACUGUGCAGAGCUGAGGAAUGGGGAAGGCCUGCAAAAGCCUCCUCUAAAGAAGGGCAAGCCCUGCCUGUGCUCUCUGAUCUCCUGUAUCUUAGCUUCCUUUCCAGUAAACUGAAAGAAGUGGGAGGCAAGCUAACACACUGUGGAGCCCACUCACAAGCUCUCCCUGGCAAGGGGGUGGAGAUGCAGGCUGCUAAAUUGCUCUGCUCUUUAGGGGCUAAUCCGCUGCAGUCAGCUGAAGACCUAUAACAGGCCUGGCAUUUAGUAACUGGAUAACUGUUUCAAAAGGUGUCCUGCAUAGUUACAUCCAAUUACAGGGAGGAACAGCUGGUGAAUUCUGAACUAAUCUCUACCUGCUGAUUGAUUUAUGCUAUGCUCGCCCGGAGUUAAUCCACCAGGGACAGAAAAAAUUUCUCCAGGAGGGGGAGAAUAUGGAGGGAGAGGAGACGGGUGUCCUUUCUCCUCUCUUUCAAUAGAUCCAAAGUAGGAACAUCCCACUGGGGAACUCAGCAGGUAACAAGCUUGGUGGUGACUGGAGACCUAGGACUGGAACCCUGGAGCUGCAAGAGAAUUCCCUGGAAAAACCCAGGCAGGAUGAUGAGGUAGAAGAGAAAGGGACAGGAGUGAUGGGCAUGGGCAGGCUGCUUCUCACAUCUAGACACUGCUUUGUUCAGAAACCAAGGUUCCAAAGUUUUUUCCUGUUCUGAUGUUGAUGACAAAGUCUAAGGAUGGCAAGUAGGGAAGCAGGGCAACUAAGAGACAGGAGCAGUUUAGGUUUUAUCUGGAGUAGUCAGAGGUAGAUGGAAGAAUUCUCAAAAUUAUGUGUGGGUGAAUAUGAGUUAAUUGGGCCAGUCCCAAGAUCCAAAGCUCAGAAAAAGUCUGUCUUUGCUCUUAAACUAAUCUGAAAGGGAAUCUCACCUUGGCAAAAAGUCGAUCUCCGUCAUUGUCCAGAAUCAGGAUGGCUUUGACAGUAUACAGGGAGGGUUCCUGAAGAGAUAUGAACAUACCUUCAGUCCUGAAGGCUCUUGCCACCAUUAGCAAACCAGAUACCUUCCCCUGGCCCCACUGGGGCUGCAAGGGGAUACAGAGGUGCCUCUGUAGGUCCCCUAUCCCAACCUGGUUAGAGUUAGACAUUUCCCACUGAGAAUGACCAAGUGGUAAAUGAACUGAAUUGAGGGAGGGGACAUUUCAACAAAGGACCCAAAGUAGCACCAGAGAAACAAUUUCUAUGAGCCAGACUCACAGAGGGCUUAAUAUUUGUUAUUUCCAAAUAUUAUGCUACAGUUAUUUUCCAAAUUACUCUCCCUCCCUGGUCUCCCAGGCACAGGUGGGUUUGAAAUGUGGAAUGUAACCAGAUUAAUUAAUAGGCACUGCACGAGACUUUUUGAAAAUAGCGUUGACUGCCCUAGUGUACUUGGAAGUUCCUGCAGUCCCGAUGCAGUAGCAAUGCAGAGGUAUAAAGAAAGCCUUCCCUAAACCACCCACACACGGAGCAGAUGGAAACAAGCACGCGUGCACACACACACUCACACACAGACACACCAGUUCUGAAUGCAGCCCAGCGAGACAUCCAUCUUCCAAGACUUCCCCUAGGAGCUCAACUCCUCUACUAUACCCUGACGACCACCACGUAACUUGCCAAGACAAAAAGCAAUCUGAAUUUGUGGUAGUUAAGAAGCAGUAAGAAGAGGCUCCGUCUAAGAAACACUCUGGAGCCUGGAGAUAAGGAGCAGGGGUGGAGUGUUCUUUCACAACCAAAAAGCAACCUUUGAGGAAACUGGCUCCAUAAAGAAAUCAGGGGCUUCCCUGGCGGUCCAGUGGUUAAGACUCCGUGCCUCCACUGCAGGGGGCACGGGUUUGAUCCUUGGUCGGGGAAAUAAGACUCUGCAUGUUGUGUGGCAUAGCCACAAAAAAAAAGAAAAAGAAAAGAAAAAGAAAUCAGAGUCUCAGCCUUAACAGUUACACUAAAACUCAAAGCAUAUCACUUUGCAAAAGCUCCUUCACUCCGGCAACUUCCAGGGAACCAGCUAACAGGAAAGGAAGAAGAGGGAGGGAAGGGAGCCCGUGGGAUGUGUACGGAAGGUGUCUGCAGGCUCACAUCCCUUGACUUUCUCAUCAGCGUUACUUACCGUGGAUAUCCUUCUCCCGUGCUUUGAGACAAGAGUGUUGUUUUGCUACCUCCGUUUCCUGGCCCUACUUAGGAAACCCACAGCCUUCACAGGGCCAAACAUAUUCUCUGAGCGUAUGUUUAACGAAGACCCAAAGGUGAUCAGGAAAGAUUCACUGCCAAGGAUCUGCAGCCUCUACAAAGGUAAACUAUCCCAUAAGGCUCCAGGAGGUUUAUGGUUCCAUGCAAAGAACCAACCUUAGCUCAAGGAGUUAAGAAUGAGAGUAAAGGGAACCCAGUCUUUUGAGAACAGGUGAUAAAGCAGGUAAGCUUUCCCCACUUGGAUUCUUGAGGACAGAAAUUUUUGUUUCUUUCACUGAUUUAUUACAAGCGUCCAGAACAAUGCCUGACAUAUACUAAACUCUCAAUAUUUAUUGAAUGAUUAUGAGAAUAAAUGAAGUUUGAGAGUAAAGUAGAAAUUUAUUGAUGCAGUAAGCAUGUAGGGGAUUCUCUUAUAAUUAGACAUCCACGUACAGGCAGGUUUUUUGGUGUGGCCAUUUUGGGUGAUAUUACUACCAAGUCGUCAUCCUCUGACAGGCAUUCCUUAAAGAUGCCCAUGCUACACGCAUUCCUCUAUGGAACACUCUCUCAAACUAAGGGACUCUGUCUAGCAGAAGGACGUCCUCUAGAGUCUCAUCUGAAAAGUCACAAAUAAAGCAGCUUUCCUAACUCCUAAUUCCCCACAGAAAGAUCUUCCCAUAAAGCAGGCUCAGUUCUAUAGCAACUUGGAUCCUCGAUUCACCAACAGGGAGACAGUCAUGGGAAUGAAUUUUCUUAAUAGAGGAAAAGCAGUCCAUAAGGAAGGAAAUUUAGAAGAAAUCAUUUUCCCCACAACAUUUUCCCUGGAAAUCUUUGGCUCUGUUUCGCUAUCCGCAUUCACAGCAACCUUAGAGAGCUUCCCAAUGGUUGAAGCCGGGCAUUGAUCUGGCGCAGGUAACUCGUGCCUGCAGCCACAAAGUCUGGCAUCUCUAGAAAGGAUGGGAUCCCAAAGCAAAGAAAAACCCUUAUUGCAGGACUUCCCUGGUGGUG